AGAGUUUGAUCAUGGCUCAGAUUGAACGCUGGCGGCAGGCCUAACACAUGCAAGUCGAGCGGUAGCACAGAGAGCUUGCUCUCGGGUGACGAGCGGCGGACGGGUGAGUAAUGUCUGGGAAACUGCCUGAUGGAGGGGGAUAACUACUGGAAACGGUAGCUAAUACCGCAUAAUGUCGCAAGACCAAAGUGGGGGACCUUCGGGCCUCAUGCCAUCAGAUGUGCCCAGAUGGGAUUAGCUUGUAGGUGGGGUAACGGCUCACCUAGGCGACGAUCCCUAGCUGGUCUGAGAGGAUGACCAGCCACACUGGAACUGAGACACGGUCCAGACUCCUACGGGAGGCAGCAGUGGGGAAUAUUGCACAAUGGGCGCAAGCCUGAUGCAGCCAUGCCGCGUGUGUGAAGAAGGCCUUCGGGUUGUAAAGCACUUUCAGCGGGGAGGAAGGCGGUGAGGUUAAUAACCUCAUCGAUUGACGUUACCCGCAGAAGAAGCACCGGCUAACUCCGUGCCAGCAGCCGCGGUAAUACGGAGGGUGCAAGCGUUAAUCGGAAUUACUGGGCGUAAAGCGCACGCAGGCGGUCUGUCAAGUCGGAUGUGAAAUCCCCGGGCUCAACCUGGGAACUGCAUUCGAAACUGGCAGGCUAGAGUCUUGUAGAGGGGGGUAGAAUUCCAGGUGUAGCGGUGAAAUGCGUAGAGAUCUGGAGGAAUACCGGUGGCGAAGGCGGCCCCCUGGACAAAGACUGACGCUCAGGUGCGAAAGCGUGGGGAGCAAACAGGAUUAGAUACCCUGGUAGUCCACGCCGUAAACGAUGUCGAUUUGGAGGUUGUGCCCUUGAGGCGUGGCUUCCGGAGCUAACGCGUUAAAUCGACCGCCUGGGGAGUACGGCCGCAAGGUUAAAACUCAAAUGAAUUGACGGGGGCCCGCACAAGCGGUGGAGCAUGUGGUUUAAUUCGAUGCAACGCGAAGAACCUUACCUGGUCUUGACAUCCACAGAACUUAGCAGAGAUGCUUUGGUGCCUUCGGGAACUGUGAGACGGUGCUGCAUGGCUGUCGUCAGCUCGUGUUGUGAAAUGUUGGGUUUAAGUCCCGCAACGAGCGCACCCUUAUCCUUUGUUGCCAGCGGUCCGGCCGGGAACUCAAAGGAGACUGCCAGUGAUAAACUGGAGGAAGGUGGGGAUGACGUCAAGUCAUCAUGGCCCUUACGACCAGGGCUACACACGUGCUACAAUGGCAUAUACAAAGAGAAGCGACCUCGCGAGAGCAAGCGGACCUCAUAAAGUAUGUCGUAGUCCGGAUUGGAGUCUGCAACUCGACUCCAUGAAGUCGGAAUCGCUAGUAAUCGUAGAUCAGAAUGCUACGGUGAAUACGUUCCCGGGCCUUGUACACACCGCCCGUCACACCAUGGGAGUGGGUUGCAAAAGAAGUAGGUAGCUUAACCUUCGGGAGGGCGCUUACCACUUUGUGAUUCAUGACUGGGGUGAAGUCGUAACAAGGUAACCGUAGGGGAACCUGCGGUUGGAUCACCU
rnacentral:rRNA from 1 species